AAGGAUCAUUACAGAGUUCAUGCCUGAAAAGGUAGACCUCCCACCCUAUGUUUAUUAUUACUUUGUUGCUUUGGCGAUGCGGCCUUCGGGUCAUCUCGGCUCGCCAUAGCCCUAACCGAACUCUUUUAUUAGUAUUGUCUGAGUCCUAUAUAAUAGUUAAAACUUUCAACAACGGAUCUCUUGGUUCUG
rnacentral:misc_RNA from 1 species